GCAACUCGCCUGCAUGAAGUCGGAAUUGCUAGUAAUCGCAGAUCAGCAUGCUGUGGUGAAUACGUUCCCGGGCCUUGUACACACCGCCCGUCACACCAUGGGAGUCGGUAACACCCAAAGUUGGUAGUCUAACCGCAAGGAGGACGCCGCCUAAGGUGGGAUUGAUGACUGGGGUGAAGUCGUAACAAGGUAGC
rnacentral:rRNA from 1 species